GACGAACGCUGGCGGCGUGCUUAAUACAUGCAAGUCGAACGGACAGGCCCGGCUCUUGUUGGGUGCUCGAGUGGCGAACAGGUGAGUGACACGUGAGUAACCUGCCCUUGUCUGUGUGAUAAAACCUGGAGACUGGGGCGAAUACCGCGUAGGAGCUCCUGCUGCGUGUUGGUGGUUGGUAAGAUUCGGUGGUUCGGGAUGGACUCGCGGCUUAUCAGCUUGUUGGGGGGGUAGGGGCGUUCCAAGGGUUUGACGGCUAGCCGGCCUGAGAGGGUGACCGGCGACAUUGGGACUGAGAGACGGACCAGACUGCUAUGGGAGGCAGCAGUGGGGAAUAUUGCAGAAUGGGCGGAAGCCUGAGGCAGCAACGCCGCGUGCGGGAUGACGGCCUUCGGGGUGUAAACCGCUUUCGAAUGUGCCGAAGCGGGAUUGACGGUAAUGGGUAAAGAAGCACCGGCUAACUACGUG
rnacentral:rRNA from 1 species